rnacentral:rRNA from 1 species
GUGAGGAAUAUUGGACAAUGGGCGCAAGCCUGAUCCAGCCAUGCCGCGUGCAGGAAGACGCAUCUAUGGUGUGUAAACUGCUUUUGUACGGGAAGAAACACUCCCUCGUGAGGGAGCUUGACGGUACCGUAAGAAUAAGGAUCGGCUAACUCCGUGCCAGCAGCCGCGGUAAUACGGAGGAUCCAAGCGUUAUCCGGAAUCAUUGGGUUUAAAGGGUCCGUAGGCGGUUUAAUAAGUAAGUGGUGAAAGCCCAUCGCUCAACGAUGGAACGGCCAUUGAUACUGUUAGACUUGAAUUACAAGGAAGUAACUAGAAUAUGUAGUGUAGCGGUGAAAUGCUUAGAUAUUACAUGGAAUACCAAUUGCGAAGGCAGGUUACUACUUGUGGAUUGACGCUGAUGGACGAAAGCGUGGGGAGCGAACAGGAUUAGAUACCCGAGUAGUCC